UAGCCUAGUGGGUUAGGCUAUGGAUCGCCAAUCCGGAGACGGCGGGUUCGAUUCCCGU
rnacentral:tRNA from 1 species